CCUACGGGCGGCAGCAGUGGGGAAUAUUGGACAAUGGGCGAAAGCCUGAUCCAGCAAUGCCGCGUGAGUGAUGAAGGCCUUAGGGUUGUAAAGCUCUUUUACCCGGGAUGAUAAUGACAGUACCGGGAGAAUAAGCUCCGGCUAACUCCGUGCCAGCAGCCGCGGUAAUACGGAGGGAGCUAGCGUUGAUCGGUAUUCCUGGGCGGAAAGCGCACGUAGGCGGCUUUGUAAGUUAGAGGUGAAAGCCUGGAGCUCAGCUCCAGAAUUGCCUGUAAGACUGCAUCGCGUGAAUCCGGGAGAGGUGAGUGGAAUUCCGAGUGUAGAGGUGAAAUUCGUAGAUAUUCGGAAGAACACCAGUGGCGAAGGCGGCUCACUGGACUGGUAUUGACGCUGAGGUGCGAAAGCGUGGGGAGCAAACAGGAUUAGAUACCCCGGUAGUC
rnacentral:rRNA from 1 species